rnacentral:rRNA from 1 species
GACAGAGGGUGCGAACGUUGUUCGGAAUUACUGGGCGUAAAGCGCGUGUAGGCUGUUCGGAAAGUCGGAUGUGAAAGCCCUGGGCUCAACCUAGGAAGUGCAUUCGAAACUCCCGAACUGGAGUCCCGGAGAGGAAGGCGGAAUCUCGGUGUAGAGGUGAAAUUCGUAGAUAUCGAGAGGAACAUCGGUGGCGAAGGCGGCCUUCUGGACGGUGACUGACGCUGAGACGCGAAAGCGUGGGGAGCAAACAGG